rnacentral:rRNA from 1 species
UACGUAGGGUGCAAGCGUUGUCCGGAAUUAUUGGGCGUAAAGAGCUCGUAGGCGGUCUGUCGCGUCUGCUGUGAAAACUCAGGGCUUAACCCUGAGCUUGCAGUGGGUACGGGCAGACUAGAGUGCGGUAGGGGAGACUGGAAAUUCCUGGUGUGAGCGGUGAAAUGACGUAGAUAUCGAAGAGGAACACCUGCGGCGAAGGCGGGUUGCUGGGCCGACACUGACACUGAGAGACGAAAGACUAGGGGAGCAAAUGGG